rnacentral:lncRNA from 1 species
GUCUUCAACUGACCAAUAUUUGAAGAACAAUGUGCUUAUUCUGCUCCAUUUGGAGGAGGCCAAUCUCUUGAGAAGCAAAUCAUACAUACAUAAAACCAUGAAUUUUAGAGGCAAAUUUAAUAACAGGAACUACCUCUGUCUUGUUCACCAGUAUGUGUAUGGGAAAACACACCCUACACUGAACAGGAGAUAUAUCUUAUUUUCUUUUGAAUAUUGCUUAUGGUACUGUAGGAAAGCAGAGGAAUUGAGAAAUAGAAAUUAGUUCAAAGUAAAGGGGAAAAAAAUCACUAUCCAAGUUGGAGUUCAGCAAAAAGUUACUUAUGACAAUUAACUAAAAAUCCAUAUUUUGCCAAUAACCAACAGGCAAAUAAAAAACCAACAUUCAAUGUUCAAUUCAAAAUAGCCAGUGAGGGAGAGGCACCAAUUAGAAGCAGCUGCAGUCCAUGGCACUCAUGGAGAGGAGUGAAAGGGGUGAGUGAAUACAGUUCUCCCACAGAUCUUUGCAACCCACGGAUCAGGAGAUCCCCUCGUGAGCCCAUGCUACCAGGGCCUUGAGUCUGACACACAGAGCUGUGUGGAGUCUUGGCCCCUGUCCAGCCUGGCCCUGCCUUCCCUGGUCUGGAGCACAUCCAAGAAGAUGGAUACAAAUAUUAUUCACCCUACAAGGCAACUGUGAAGAUUUUCCACGUAGGUGCUUAAGAAUUCUCUCUCUCCCCAGGACUUUGAUCACUUCAUUUUGCCCAAAUUCUCCUCUGAUCCCUAUGGUUGUUCUUUCUCCAGGUCUACUCCUCUGCUAGCUACAGCUCUGACUGGACACAGGCUGCCUGUGACCCCAGCCCUAACCAGUGCACGGGCCACAGUAUUCCAUCCCUGUGUUGUCUCAGAGAGAACAUCAACAACAACAAAAUCAACUCCAUCCGCACUAACAUUUCCAUGGGUACCUGCGUUAGGUUUACUAGAGAUCCUGCACUUAGGGAGAUAAACACAUGAAGCAUUUAAUCUUCCACCACUGCCCCCAGCUGCACUGUCAAAUACUCUUUCUCCUAAGAAGAACCUUCAACCACAUGCAGGCAGAUCCAAGACAUUCCUGGUUACUUUCUGACAUCACCACUCUAAUGCAAGCCAGUCCUAUGGCUCAGGGCACGUGGCUUGGGAAGGGCCAGGCUCUCCACUGACUGGGAAGAGAAGCUGAACCUGGUUCUGGGAACACCUCCCUCUUUCUGGUCCUGCUUAACUGCCUGAGGUUACAUUUCCUUCUUUUUGGUGAUCUCUACUUCUUUGUUUAACAAUGCCCAGCUGGGUCGCUAGGUGGCAAAUAGACACAUGCUAACUCAAGCAUGCUUUGCUGAAGUUGGAUCUGCAAAAGCCUGGGGGUGGAGGGGAAGGCUAUACCACUGCACAGUUCCCUGAGGGAGGGAGAAACAUGGCUUUGGGAUAGCCUCUUCUUUUCUUUUCUUUCUUUCCUUCUUUUCUUCUUCUCCUUCUUCCUUCUCCUUCUCCUUCCUCCUCCUUCCUCCUUCCUCUUCUUCCUCCUUCCUCUUCCUUCCUCCUUCCUCUUUCUCAUUCUUCUAUAACUAUGGUACCAAGGGACAGCCUCUUCUCACACACU